AACGAACGCUGGCGGCAGGCUUAACACAUGCAAGUCGAACGCAUCCUUCGGGGUGAGUGGCAGACGGGUGAGUAACGCGUGGGAACGUGCCCUUCAGUUCGGGAUAACCCAGGGAAACUUGGGCUAAUACCGGAUACGUGCGAGAGCAGAAAGAUUUAUCGCUGAAGGAUCGGCCCGCGUCUGAUUAGCUGGUUGGUGGGGUAAUGGCCCACCAAGGCGACGAUCAGUAGCUGGUCUGAGAGGAUGAUCAGCCACAUUGGGACUGAGACACGGCCCAAACUCCUACGGGAGGCAGCAGUGGGGAAUAUUGGACAAUGGGCGCAAGCCUGAUCCAGCCAUGCCGCGUGAGUGAUGAAGGCCUUAGGGUUGUAAAGCUCUUUCGUCCGGGACGAUAAUAACGGUACCGGAAGAAGAAGCCCCGGCUAACUUCGUGCCAGCAGCCGCGGUAACAC
rnacentral:rRNA from 1 species